rnacentral:rRNA from 1 species
UCCGUAGGUGGAUUAAUAAGUCAGAGGUGAAAUCCUGCAGCUCAACUGUAGAACUGCCUUUGAUACUGUUAAUCUUGAGUCAUUAUGAAGUGGUUAGAAUGAGUAGUGUAGCGGUGAAAUGCAUAGAUAUUACUCAGAAUACCGAUUGCGAAGGCAGAUCACUAAUAAUGUACUGACACUGAGGGACGAAAGCGUAGGGAGCGAACAGGAUUAGAUACCCUGGUAGUCC